rnacentral:rRNA from 1 species
ACUGCUGCCUCCCGUAGGAGUAGGGGGAAUCUUCCACAAUGGACGAAAGUCUGAUGGAGCAACGCCGCGUGAGUGAAGAAGGGUUUCGGCUCGUAAAACUCUGUUGUUAAAGAAGAACAUAUCUAAGAGUAACUGUUCAGGUAUUGACGGUAUUUAACCAGAAAGCCACGGCUAACUACGUGCCAGCNGCCGCGGUAAUAC